UACGAAGGGGGCUAGCGUUUUUCGGAAUUACUGGGCGUAAAGCGCACGUAGGCGGAUAUUUAAGUCAGGGGUGAAAUCCCGCAGCUCAACUGCGGAACUGCCUUUGAUACUGGGUAUCUUGAGUAUGGAAGAGGUAAGUGGAAUUCCGAGUGUAGAGGUGAAAUUCGUAGAUAUUCGGAGGAACACCAGUGGCGAAGGCGGCUUACUGGUCCAUUACUGACGCUGAGGUGCGAAAGCGUGGGGAGCAAACAGG
rnacentral:rRNA from 1 species